AUACGGAGGAUCCGAGCGUUAUCCGGAUUUAUUGGGUUUAAAGGGUGCGCAGGCGGGAGAUUAAGUCGGCGGUGAAAUUUUGCAGCUCAACUGUAAAAGUGCCUUCGAAACUGGUUUCCUUGAGUGUAGAUGAAGUAGGCGGAAUUUGUGGUGUAGCGGUGAAAUGCAUAGAUAUCACGAGGAACUCCGAUUGCGCAGGCAGCUUACUAAGCUACUACUGACGCUCAGGCACGAAGGCGUGGGGAUCAAACAGGAUUAGAUACCCUGGUAGUCCACGCAGUAAACGAUGAUUACUAGCUGUUUGCGAUACAAUGUAAGCGGCUGAGCGAAAGCGUUAAGUAAUCCACCUGGGGAGUACGGUCGCAAGAAUGAAACUCAAAGGAAUUGACGGGG
rnacentral:rRNA from 1 species